GAUCAUGGCUCAGAUUGAACGCUGGCGGCAGGCCUAACACAUGCAAGUCGAACGGUAACAGGAAGCAGCUUGCUGUUUCGCUGACGAGUGGCGGACGGGUGAGUAAUGUCUGGGGAACUGCCUGAUGGAGGGGAGUAACUACUGGAAACGGUAGCUAAUACCGCAUAACGUCGCAAGACCAAAGAGGGGGACCCUCGGGCCUCUUGCCAUCGGAUGUGCCCAGAUGGGAUUAGCUUUG
rnacentral:rRNA from 1 species